UACAGAGGUGGCGAGCGUUGUUCGGAAUUACUGGGCGUAAAGGGCGCGUAGGCGGCCUUCUAAGUCGGACGUGAAAGCCCCAGGCUUAACCUGGGAACUGGGUCCGAUACUGGGAGGCUUGGAUUCGGGAGAGGGAUGUGGAAUUCCAGGUGUAGCGGUGAAAUGCGUAGAUAUCUGGAGGAACACCGGUGGCGAAGGCGGCAUCCUGGACCGACAUCGACGCUGAGGCGCGAAAGCUAGGGGAGCAAGCGGG
rnacentral:rRNA from 1 species